rnacentral:rRNA from 1 species
CGGAUUGUAGGCUGCAACCCGCCUACAUGAAGUUGGAAUUGCUAGUAAUCGCAGAUCAGAAUGCUGCGGUGAAUACGUUCCCGGGCCUUGUACACACCGCCCGUCACACCAUGGGAGCCGGUAAUACCCGAAGUCAGUAGUCUAACCGCAAGGGGACGCUGCCGAAGGUAGGAUUGGCGACUGGGGUGAAGUCGUAACAAGGUAAC